rnacentral:rRNA from 1 species
UACGUAGGGCGCAAGCGUUGCCCGGAAUUAUUGGGCGUAAAGAGCUCGUAGGCGGUUUGUCGCGUCUGCUGUGAAAACCUAAGGCUCAACCUUGGGCUUGCAGUGGGUACGGGCAGACUAGAGUGCGGUAGGGGUGACUGGAAUUCCUGGUGUAGCGGUGGAAUGCGCAGAUAUCAGGAGGAACACCGGUGGCGAAGGCGGGUCGCUGGGCAGUAACUGACGCUGAGGAGCGAAAGCGUGGGGAGCGAACAGG